UCCGGCGUGGCGCAAUGGUAGCGCGAGAUCCUGUUAAGAUCGAGGUUGCAGGUUCGAAUCCUGUCGCCGGAG
rnacentral:tRNA from 1 species